CUUUAGCCCCGAUGGAAGUGGAAAUCCUUGUGGGUCUCGUUUUUUUUUUAACGAGACCCACAAGAUUGUAACGGACAGCGGGACCAAUG
rnacentral:sRNA from 1 species